GGCUCCGUGGUGUAGUCGGUAGCACACCAGUGUAUGAAUACGGAUGGGACGGUUGUAUGAGUAAGGAGGCGCGGGUUCGAUCCCCGCCGGAGCUA